AUGAGAGGAGAAUUCAACGGCCUUCAAAAGUUAAUCCGUGAUGAGAAUCCUUAUGCUUUCUAUAUUCACUGCUUUGCCCACCAACUACAAUUGGUAGUUGUUGCUGUUUCGAGAUGUUGCAAGGGUGUUGAGGAUUUUUUUGAGUAUGUGACCAUGAUUGUCAAUGUCAGUGGUUCAUCUUGCAGGAGGAAGGAUAAAUUGCUUUAUAAGCAAAAGAAGAUUCUUUUGGAUAAGAUUGAGAGGGGUGAGAUGCCCACGGGAAGAGGGAAAAAUCAAGCAACCUCAUUGGUCAGACCUGGAGAUACACGUUGGGGCUCUCAUUACACAACUUUAUCUCGCAUUGAAUCAAUGUGGGAUGCAGCGAUAGAAGUUUUGGGCAUUGUUGAGGAGGAUGUGCGUGUUCCAUGUAGGGCAGGAGGUUUGGUUCAUCAAAUGGAGACUUUCAGCUUUGUGUUCAUCCUAAAGAUGAUGUUAAAAAUCCUUCAUAUGAAAAAUGAUCUAUCUCUUCUAUUGCAAAAGAAGGAUCAAAAUGUUGUUCAGGCUAUGUCAUUGGUUACGGAUGUGAGAACACGUUUGAUCAAUUGGAGAAAUGAUGGUUGGGAGCUACUCUUGGAAGAUGUCAAAGCAUUCUGCACCAAAGAUGAAAUUCCAAUACCAAGUAUGGAUGACACCUUCACAAAAUGGGGGAAAUCAAGAAAAGGUGGAAGAAACAAUGUAACUGCUGAUCAUUUUUUCCGUGUGGACACCUUCUAUGUUGCUAUAGACUCCAUCAUCAUGGAGUUUGAUCAUCGUUUUAAUGAGGUAGCGACGGCAACAGUUGAAAGGGCUUUUUCAGCAAUGAAAAUCAUCAAGACUGAGUUGCGCAGCAAGAUGUCCGAUGGCUGGCUUAAUGACUUGAUGGUGUGUUACAUUGAGCGAGGGAUAUUCAAAAGUCUCGAUCUUGGUAAAAUUAAGGAAGAUUUCUACAAGAAGGGUAGAGAACUACCGUUGCCUGGGUCUUCUAGGCGCCAUUAA
rnacentral:rRNA from 1 species